rnacentral:tRNA from 1 species
GAGGUUGUGGCUCAGUGGUAGAGCACUUGCCUAGCGUGUGUGAGGCACUGGGUUCAAUCCCUGCCACCACA